CAGUAGCUGGGACUACAGGCGUGCCUCACCACGCCUAGCUAAUUUUUAUAUUUUUAGUAGAGACGGAGUUUCACCAUGUUGGCUAGGAUGGUCUCGAUCUAUUGACCUCAUGAUCUGCCCACCUGGGCCUCCCAAAGUGCUGGAAUUACAGGCGUGAGCCACUGCACCCAGCCUUUUUUUUUUUUUUUUUGAGACGGAGUCUUGCUCUGUAGCUAGGCUGGAGUGCAGUGGCAUGAUCUUGGCUCACCGCAACCUCCACCUCCAGGGUUCAAGGGAUUCUCCUGCCUCAGCCCCCCAAGUACUUGGGAUUACAGGCGAGCACCACCACACCUGGCUAAUUUUUUAUAUUUUUGGUACAGAAAUUUUAUAUUUCACCAUGUUGGCCAGGCUGGUCUCGAACUCCUGACCUUAAGUUAUCGCUCGCCUCGGCUUCCCAAAGUGCUGGGAUAACAGGCGUGAGCCACCGCGCCUGGCCGCCCUGCCCAUUUUUGUAUCGGUUUUCUGUGUCUCUAGCACUUUCUUUUCCACAGCCACCUAUCAAUCCUAUUCAGCACUUCCACAGUAUUUUCUAGAGAGCCAAUUUUCCUGCCUAAUUCACAUUCUGAAUUUCACAGGCGGACCAGUCCUGUUUGUCCUUAUGCCAUAGUCACUUCACCCUGAUCGGCCUCAGGCUUCUCAUCUGAGCAAUGGGAAGAAUGCCUUUCUCAUAGCUGGGCUGAGGGUUGCAGUAGAGACAGAAUCCACAUCAUUGCUGCCUGAUGACUCCUGCAGGGAAAGCCUGAGAGACACAGAGAAGGCUGAGCUCUCGGCGCGCUACAAAAGGGCUCUCAGCUACAUGGUGGCUCCUCUGUCCAGCUAGAGCUGAGCUGGCCUGGGUCUGGCUUAGUCACAAGCAGGCUCAGGGCACAGCUGAGAGGCAAAGGGAAGGAAGCCAGGACUGGCAGCCUGGGCUAAGGGUAAAACUUCUACCUCCUACCAAUAUUUAUUGCAGUGUUUUUCAAACUGCAGGAUAUGGACGUCAGUGGGUUUGCAAAAUUAAUUUAGUGGGUGGUGAUCUGCUUUUUAAAAAAACAAACAUGGUGCCAGGCGUGAGCCGCCGCGCCCAGCCCUCAGUCUAGGUUCUUUAUAGGUUCUGGCCCCCUGGGUACUUUGUUGUAUGGUAGACAGCAGAAUUUUUGCCUUCUGCUUUUGUUUUUCAUCAUCUUUUCUUAUAUAUACCUUUUGGGCUUCUCUUAGAAGCUCUUCUAUAGGUUUAUCUUUCCAGUUCUCUAUCUUUUGUAAUUUCUUGUUAAUAUCUGGCCAACUGUUAGUGACAAAAUGAAGUUUUAACAUUCCCUGCCCAAGAGGAUCCUUGAGACCUAGACCAGUGUAUUUUCUCAUUUGUUCCUUUAAUCUAUCUAAAAAUUCUAUAGGCCCUUCAUCUUUCCCUUGCUGUAUAUCAAAUAUUCGGGUAAGAUACUGAGUUCGGGGUACCAAUUUUUUUUUUUUUUUUGAGAUGGAGCCUUGCUCUGUUGCUCAGGCUAGAGUGCUGGAGUGCAGUGGCGUGAUCUCGGCUCACUGCAAGCUCCGCCUUCUGGGUUCACGCCAUUCUCCUGCCUCAGCCUCCUGAGUAGCUGGGACUAAAGGCGCCUGCCACUAUGCCCAGCUAAUUUUUUUGUAUUUUUUAGUAGAGACGGGGUUUCACUGUGUUGGCCAGGAUGGUCUCGAUCUCCUGACCUUGUGAUCUGCCUGCCUCGGCCUCCCAAAGUGCUGGGAUUACAGGCGUGAGCCACUGCGCCCAGCCUCGGGGUACUGAUGCUUUAAUCCCCUUUAUUAUCAAUUCCUUAAGGUCCUGCAUAUUUUCUCGGUGGGCUGCGUUGUUAUUGUCCCACUGGGGGUCUUGGGUGGGAGUUUUUUGAUCUGCUGUAGGAACGUUUUGGCCAGGAGGGUGUUCGUGUUCCUAGGCUCCCAUAGCAGCUCUAUGGAUCAUGUCUCUUUCUUCCCCCGAGAAGAGGGGAAAGGGAAAUUCUGAAUAUCUUUUUUACAUUGCUCUAUCUCACGUUGAAGUCCUUUAAGGGAAAGGUACUUAGGUCGGUAGUGAGUGGGCUCUUGGGACGAUUCUCAAGAGGCAGGGUUGUAAGAAAGGGGACAUCAGAGAUAGGAGAAGGGUCUGGGACAGCAGCUGCUUUUGUUUUUGGUCCUUUCAUUAUCCUUCUAACAUUUUAACAUUAGGCCUGGGGGAAUAUUACUGUUGCUAGCUUUCUCCUUUUUAUCUCUUACCUUACUUGGGGCAUUUCCCAUCUUGGGUCCUGGUUAAGCUCAAUCUCCCCUGUUGGAGAUGUCUCGCCUAUCCUUUAGCCCCACCUGCUGGAGGCUCCUUGCAUUCAUGCACACUUUCAACCCCCAGAAUAUCCUGACCACCAAGGAAAUACUUUGUCACCCCUGCGAUGUUUCUUAGCUUGGUCUCUGCACACUUACUUGGUCGCUGUGGUACAUGAGGAUCCUUUCCCCCAGGUCGCCAGCCCGUUUCUUUCUGCCUUGCUGAGAGUAUAGGUUUAUUCGUCACACUGGUUGGUCUCGAUUCCUUACCCCUGUGGCCACCGCAACAAGGCAGUGGGACGUGCCUCCUCAUGGGAGAGGUCUAGACCCUCCUCAGAGGAGGAUGGGAAUCCCAAAUGAGACCCCAAAUUUGUUAGAAAUAAAUUUUCAGUGCCACAAAAGAAAUAGCACUCAAACAUACAUUUUCUCAGCAAGGCAAUUUUACUUCUAUACAAGAGUGCGUCUC
rnacentral:lncRNA from 1 species